AAGAAACUAACAAGGAUUCCCCUAGUAACGGCGAGUGAGCGGGAUGAGCUCAAAUUUAAAAUCUGGCGGCCUCAGGUCGUCCGAGUUGUAGUCUAGAGAAUCGUUUUCCGCGUUGGCCUGUGUACAAGUCCCUUGGAACAGGGCGUCAUAGAGGGUGAGAAUCCCGUCCUUGACACAGAUUACCAAUGCUUUGUGAUGCGAUCUCGAAGAGUCGAGUUGUUUGGGAAUGCAGCUCAAAAUGGGUGGUAAAUUCCAUCUAAAGCUAAAUAUUGGCGAGAGACCGAUAGCGAACAAGUACCGUGAGGGAAAGAUGAAAAGCACUUUGGAAAGAGAGUUAAACAGUACGUGAAAUUGUUAAAAGGGAAACGAUUGAAGUCAGUCAUGCUUUCCGAGACUCAGCCGAUUCUGUCGGUGUACUUCUCGGUUGGCAGGCCAGCAUCAGUUUCGAUCUGUGGAAAAGGUUGGAGGGAACGUGGCAUCUCCGGAUGUGUUAUAGCCCUUCUUCGAAUACAUAGAGCGGGACUGAGGAACGCAGCGCGCCUUUUAUUAGGUUGGCCCUCGGGUACAUACGCGCUUAGGAUGCUGGCAUAAUGGCUUUAAACGACCC
rnacentral:rRNA from 1 species